GGUAGGAUAGCCGAAGCAGGCGGUGGGUUGUAGCCCCGAAGAUAGAGGUUUGAGUCCUCUUCCUAUCA
rnacentral:tRNA from 3 species